UACGUAGGGGGCAAGCGUUGUCCGGAUUUACUGGGCGUAAAGAGCGCGCAGGCGGUCGUUCAAGUCGCGUGUGAAAGCCCCCGGCUCAACUGGGGAGGGUCACGCGAUACUGAUCGACUCGAAGGCAGGAGAGGGUAGUGGAAUUCCCGGUGUAGUGGUGAAAUGCGUAGAUAUCGGGAGGAACACCAGUGGCGAAGGCGACUACCUGGCCUGUUCUUGACGCUGAGGCGCGAAAGCCAGGGGAGCAAACGGG
rnacentral:rRNA from 1 species